rnacentral:rRNA from 1 species
UAGGGAAUAUUAGAAAUGGACGAAAGUCUGAUCUAGCAACACCGCGUGUGCGAAGAAGGCCUUCGGGUCGUAAAGCACUUUUUGGAAGGAAUAGGAAGGAAUGUACUUCCAGAAUAAGUCUCGGCUAACUACGUGCCAGCAGCCGCGGUAACAAGUAGGAGGCGACCGUUAUACGAAUUUACUGGGCGUAAAGCGCGUGUAGGUGGUUCUGUAAGUAGGGCGUGAAAGCUCCUGGCUCAACUGGGAGAGGCCGUUCUAAACUACAGAACUAGAGGAUGGUAGAGGGAGGUGGAAUUCCAGGUGUAGCGGUGGAAUGCGCAGAUAUCUGGAGGAACACCAGUGGCGAAGGCGGCCUCCUGGACCAUUCCUGACACUCAGACGCGAAAGCUAGGGUAGCAAACG